CCCUGGCCCGGGCAUGGGCGGAAUUGGCGUAGUAAGGGUUGCCCUGGGAGUCCAGGUGGUUGAAGAAGACGUCGACUUCAUCCGGAGCCUGAGCACCCCAAAGCAAAAAGAGGAUAAAGAGGGGAACUUUGCACAUACAAAAACAGAAGAAAAAAAAAAAAGGCGAAGGGGUGAAAGAGUCGGAGGAGAGGAGCGGCCGCGUCCCCGAUGUGCCUGGCCUUUCGGGCUGUGCACCUGCACCUAAGUGAGGCAGCGGAGAAGCUGGAAGAGGCACAAGCAGAUAUUACGCGACGAGUCGUUGUUAUAGCUAGGAAAGAGACGGUAAAACACGAAUUUCGUAGAGCACUAAGAAAUCCAGCCAGAACGAAUGAUUUCGCAAAUGUUGGCGCUCCCCAGCCCUGGCUUGGCAGUCCUCACCUGCCAGGUGUUUUCCUGCCCGCGGGUGGGUGUACGGGGCUGGGGGCUCCCCUCGCCCAACGCCCGCUGCCUGCAUGGGGUGCCGGGCACCGGGGCCGCUCCGGGCGGCUCGGGGGGCGCGGCGCGAUUCUCCAGAGUGGGGGGCAGCCGGGACCCCCGCCCGAGGCUGCAGGAAAACCACAUUAAUACAGAAACAAAGGCCGGACCGGCCGGUGGCGGCCCUGCGGGAGGUGGGGGGACGAAAUACGGUUCGGGAAGGGAAGGAGAAAAGUUUCGCGGGAGAGGAAUUAUCAUCAUAAUGGAGGUAAAAAUGUGAGCAGGGAAAAGAGGGGGGGAUCCUAUUCUGCUGGCAUUUUCUGUCUGUCUUUGUGAUAUGGUUCGGGGGAAAAAGGGUCCUUGAUAUGCGGCAGAUAAUUCUUAUCAGCCCCACGCAGCCCAUUUCCAAAGUAAGUGUUUUAAUUACGCCUCCUGUAUUACCCUUCAUCCUCUGAGAGAAGAUACAUCACCAGAUUUAUGCAGGGGAAAAAUACAAAAGAAUGUGGUAUUAAAAUACAUACAUACAUAUAUCCCUUCUUUUUUCCCUUGUGCCCAGGAAGAGGGAGACGCUGCCGGCAGCCGCGUCCUGGGACCGCUCUGCACGGAACGACUCCAAAACGAGGAGCUGUCGCUCAGGCGGAAAAACUACGGGAAAAGUGGGGUUUGAAGGCUGCAGAUUUUUCCCCAGGCGGGGUCAGACGGGGGUGUGCGAGCCGGGGCCUCGGGGUGCUGAGACCGGAGCGGUGCCCACCCGAGCCUCGCCGCGCUGUCCCGGGACAGCCCGGGUCACCCCUGCUCGUGCCACCAGAGACAUUGGGGGUCGGAGGGGCAGGGAGUCGGGAUUUUCCCCUCACGCCCGCUGGAAGAGAAGGAUGUUUUCUUUCUUGUUAAGCUUUCGUACUAAAGAUGUCAUGUGAAAGUCUGGGAGGAAGGGGGACCGUGCUCUGCUCUCUUUCACGGUAACAAUCAUAUCAUAUUGAAAAAUAUGAUAGACAGUGGGGAAAGAU